CUAUAUGCAAAUACUAUACCGUUUUAUUAAUAUAUAAGGGAUUUGAGCAUCCAAUGGAACCAAUCCUACACAGAUACCAAGGGACCGCUAUAUCCCGCGUUUUCUGUAUUUGUUGCCUGUAUUAAAUCACAAGCCUCCAAGGAAAAAGAAAAUAUCACAAGCCUUCAGUUAUCUUGGUCCCCAAUGUAGUAUAAUCUUUUCUUUCUCAUUCUUGUGCCUUGUCGUGUAGCACAUGUUUACAUUCAAUUUAGAAUUUCAUAUUCAUUCAUUCUAGUAUUUCAUUACUUAGUACUUCGUUAUUCUAUGUUGUUUUGUAUUUAUUUAACAGGUUUAUGUCUUCAUUCAAUAAAUUUGUAAUUUCCUGGAGAUUAAGACUUUUCCAUCACUGUAGGAGGUUUGUAAUGUUUUCAAAUUAAUAUAUGAGAAAGGAGGCACAAAUAUUAUAUUAAAAGGAUUUAACAAAUAAAAACUUUGUGUUUCUAGAAUGUAGCUUUAAGACACAUUCAAGGAAAAUACUUUCAGAUAAUCAUUACUUUUGAUGCUUGGCCUCAAUUCCUAUUUGGCUUAGCUUCAUCAUUGGUGGCCUAGAACUUGGCUGAUAAGUAGGAGAGCUGGAAGCAAGGCUGGCUGCCUGGCAAAACCUACUUAUGUUGACUUGGAUUGCUUUUGAUCUUAUUUGCUAUUUUAUCAACUAUUUUUAUACUCCUAAAUGAGUAGAAUUUCUGUGGUUUUUAUAGAAGAAUGAGAACCAGAAAAGCCAGACUAUUUACAACACUUUAAAAAUGUGACAGUAGUCCUAUAAUAGUACUGAAGCUACUUGUUAUGAGACUGUGUUAAUUUGUUUUAUGAUUAGCGUAGGAAGAAGCAGCUGAGGUGAUAUGUCCCAUCUGUCUGCUUUCCUCUUCCUUCUCUUUCACCCUCGAGGAAGAUGCUGGAGAUUCUUCAGGGAAGAAUAAAAAGAUUAAAUUUAGAAUAUAUUUGUAUUUGUGUUAAGAAAAUGCUUCUUGGGUUUGCUUAUAGGUCCAGUUAUUGCUUUGGAGUUUAAUGGAGAUGAUGCUGUAGAAGGAUGUCAACUUAUUGUAAACGAGACAUUCAAUGGGACCAAGAUGUUUGUAUCAGAAAGCAAAGAGACAGCAUCUGGAGAUGUGGACAGCUUCUACAACUUCGCUGAUAUACAGAUGGGAAUAUGAAGUGCAAUGUGGAACCAGGACUUGGUAUUAAGCCUUUCCCAACUUGUGAAUAUAGAAUUUGAUAAUAUACUUUUGUGUAUUAGCAAUGGUUUUUGCUAAUGCUAAAACUGUUGAAGUUUAUUUUUGAAUCAAUUGUUGAAUAUUACAUCAUUUA